GGUUGAUCCUGCCAGUAGUCAUAUGCUUGUCUCAAAGAUUAAGCCAUGCAUGUCUAAGUAUAAACAACUUUGUACUGUGAAACUGCGAAUGGCUCAUUAAAUCAGUUAUAAUUUAUUUGAUUGUACCUUACUACUUGGAUAACCGUGGUAAUUCUAGAGCUAAUACAUGCUAACAAUCCCGACUUCUGGAAGGGAUGUAUUUAUUAGAUAAAAAACCAACGCGGGCAACCGCUUGUUUGGUGAUUCAUAAUAACUUUUCGAAUCGCAUGGCCUUGUGCUGGCGAUGUUUCAUU
rnacentral:rRNA from 1 species